CAGAAAAUAGUUUAAUGGAGAAUGCCAGCUUUGGGAGUUGGUGGUAGAGGUUUGAGGCCUCUUUUUCUGA
rnacentral:tRNA from 2 species